CAACCCUCGCCUCAUCCCACUCCCACUCCAGCCGCCAGACAAAACCUAGCCCCCUUGCCCAAUGCCCCCCGAUCCCCACAGCCGUCGCACGACUUCGCUCCUCCUUCCCUCCCACCGUACCCUCUCCUUGCUUGCAUCCGCCUCCUUUCCACCUCCGCCCGAGCUCCGCCUUCCUCGCCCGCCUCCUCCUCCUUGCCAUCGGUGGAAUCAGUGAGCAUAGGGGCAACAGCAAUGGCUGGAUGCGAUGAGCUUGCCUCCGGUGGCGCCAGGAACCUGCAAGCAAAGGGCGACCCCAUGGAUCCAUCCCUGCAGGGAGAGAAGAUGCGGAUGGAGGAUUGAAGGAUAGGGGGAGGUAGGCGAGCUGGCGGGGUGGUCUCGCCGGCGAUGACAGGGCUGACCGGCCGGAGUUGGAUCGAGAUCCCGGCUCGGCUUGGCUCCAACUCCCUCUUUCACCUCUCCGCUCCCCGGCACUCAAAUCUGGCUCUUCUGCACACAUAAGUAGCUAUGGAAAGAAAGCUUGUAGUGGAGUGGGUUCCUUUGUAUGAUCUUGGAAGAUGAUGACCUCUGAACCUCAUUAGAAAGCAUGGCAACGGCUUAAGGUUAGCGCAUUUCGAGAAGCCAACAGAUCACCGCCUACUUCCUUAGGCUGACAAUCACCUGCGGGAUAAAGUGUGAUGUUUUGCCUGAGGGGUUGGAGCAGGACAGCAGGAGGAGACAAGAUCAAGGACUGGGCCAAUGUGGUCGUCGCGCACGAACCAGUGUAGCCCAUUGGCGCUGGGAAAGUUGUAUCAGCGGCUCAGGCACAUGAAGUAAGUUCCUCCAUUUAGGUGUAUUGGUGUUUCUGAACUAGCAGACACACAUCAGUUUUGUAAAAGGAAGCACGAGGCGGCAUUAAAAGAGAUCAGUCAGAUUCUUCUUCCAGGUAGUACAUGUUAUCACCCAUCUGGAAUUAAGAAAUGAAAAGGACUGAUCUGAUGCUGGCUGAAAAAUCAGUGAAGGGGAACAACUGCUACUUGAUUUUGAUUUGCGUAUUUAUUUUGAUACCAAAGUUACAGUUGUGAGGAUGCUUCCCUGAAGUUAACUUUGCUAAUAAGUUAGUAUACAAAAAAUUCUGACACAUAACAUUAGUCUCUUCCUUUAAUCGUCGGUGCAUAACCAUCGGGCACUGUACAAGGUCUUAGGUCUCCCGGAAACAAAAGAGAAGAAUCUUGGGCAUGAAAGAACAACUUUAUUGUUUGAUGCUAGCUGGAUGAUUCCCCCCCCCCCCCCCCCCCCCCUCCCCACCUAAAUUUGAUUGAAUUUAUUCAUGAGUUCAUCUUUUCUAACAAUUCUUUUUAAGAUCUGCUUUAUGUUAUUCCAUAUAAUUGAUACUUUUGUCGUGAAUAACCAGGUUCUAUCAAAUUUACACUAAUCGUACCGAAGGGAUCUAAUCUUACUAAACCAAACUUGCUGCUUUUGGCUUCCAAAAACCAAAUUUCUCAACUCAAUUGCUGUUUCAGAGGGUAUUGAAGCAAAUAAGUGUUCUAGCAGGAAUAGCAUGUUUUAGCUUUCAAUCUCAUGAAUAUACUGAUCUGUUUCAGAUACCUCAGUACACUGUCAGUUGCUCCAUUGAUAGCGUUAGUUGGCUUUGCACUGUAUGAGCUGGUUUUCCGUCGGUAAGGCCUGCGCAUUGUGUUUCUGCUCAAUACUUGUUUAAUCAUGCAUACUUAUGUUUGAACAACAAAUACACAUCCUGGUGAUAUUUGCUACACAAUUCCUAUGCACUCAAUAUUUUUAACCUUUUGUUACCCAACAUAAAUAUGUGCUCCAGGUGCAUUUUUGUGCCCAUCCGCUUUCAUUUUUACACUCCUGAUGAACAUGUCGAUGUGAUGAGGGGUGUUAACAGUCUUGCUCUGUAGUAGUGUGAAGAUCUGGAGGAUGCAGGCCAUGGCCUCCUCCAGUCUGCCUUGGCAUGUGUUACAUUGCUUAUAUAUAUGGAUGGGUAACCACUUGACAGUUUGUCCGUGCUACUCGCCAUUUCCUCUCGAAGCAUAUGCUUGCAGCAUAAUGAUUAAUUUUCUCUGAAAUAAAUGCCAUACAUUUUUAUUAUCUAUUUGUUCUUGUUUUUUUGUGUUCUUCAUUAAACCUAAUCCUUACCUGGUAUUGUUUUCUGAACUAUGUUAUCGUAGUAUUUUUUUUAAUAGAACACUGUAUCAUGUCAUAGGUUGGUCACGACGAACAUUGCUUCUUUGGAUUAGCUUGCAUAGGUUGGUUGGUGAUGAUGCUCUCCUGUGGACCGGCAGCCGUGGUUUGAUUUAGAUGUAAAAUUCACUAGCCUCUGUUGUUUAUCAGUUCCGUGCUGAUAGGGAAUUUGGGGCGAAGAUAGAAAGGGAAUGCUAAUAUUGAUCGGGAAUUUAUGCCUGUUACAUUUUAGUUAUAAAUCAAUCUUCCUGGUGAUUGGUUUGGCAAUAACUACACACUUUAAAAUUUUCAUCUUUUGGGUCUGCAUAGAUGAUUUCCCCUGAGGAUUGUAGUAAUGUUUAAACAAGUACUAAAAAUACUACUGGAGGUUGGGCUGCGCCAAUGACGCGUCUCCUGAGCCAGAUCAUUUCCUUCCUUUAAUUUUUAAUCAUGGUCUAGCGGUUUCAAGAACCAUUUAUCAAACAUUUAAGGAUAUUGAACAUAGUAUGUGACUAUGAAAAAAAGGUUGUCCUUUCUUUCAGGUUGUCCACGGGAGCUAUGGCAAAAAGGCAACUUGCUUGAACUGAAUCAGCCAUUAGCUUCUUAUUAUGUACAUAUCUGAAAAAACUGUAGGUCUACCUCUCUGUAGAAAUACACAAGCAUUCUAACCUAUAAGGUGGUUGGGCGACCCGCCCACCCAAGCGCUCCUUCGAUUUUUCUUAGUUUUGAGCCUUUGAUCGGGCCUGGUCGCGUCAACGCUGGUGUGCCAGCCGUUUGAUUUUUACAUAUUUUUUGACCCAUGAUUGUUUCAAGCAAUAGUGUUGUCAAUAUAUUAAUUACUAGAUUAUGUUACUAUUGUAUAUUAGAAGAACUUCAUGAUAUAUGUAUUUAUAGGAUUCUCUGAUAUUUGAUGCAAAAUAUUGAUGGCCAGGUGAAUACAGUGGACUCUUCAAGAUUGAGGGCAAACUGCAUAUGCCGAGGGUGUCCAUCGACAACCUGCCCAAUGUCCAUAUUCACCGAGGAGUACAACCAGAGACACUGUUGACUGCGUGUAGCAGGCGCCAAGCCCUCCGACGCCCAGCCGUCCGCUAUGGUCUCUGCCCGAAGAAGGAUUAUGGUUCUCCACCUCUCUGCUACUCAUAUUAGAAUUCUGGUAUGUUCUUUCUUUCUUUAUUUUCUGUCAACAAAAAGGUGGAACCUGUUCUUAAUUUCCCAUAAUGAUUUUGAUGACAAUUUGUUAGUGUAUUUCUAGCUGGAAUUGCAUUAUAUCUUACAAAUUCACAAUGCAACCAAUUAAUAAGGAGAAUAGAAGCAUUUGCAUCCAUCUAACAUAUUUGUAUGAUAUUUUUUCAAAAGCUCAAGGUUGUAGAUGUGGCGCUGUAUGAGGCGAUCAUUAGGAUGGAAAAUAAAUUAAUGUUAAAAUAUUGUUUGAAUUUCCUUCGUUCUGUAAAUGGCAAUACAAGCUAUGUUUGCGCCAUGAUUCUAUUCCAAUUUUUUUAAUAACUGGUCAUUAACGACAGAUAAAAUGUUCUGUAUUGAAAUGGAGCAUUUGUCAGUUUGGGUUUAGUAGGUCAGAAUGGUUCUAUUCUACAGCAGGAUUAUGUAACCAGUUCAAGAAUUGAUGAGUUUUUGAGCCCUAUGAUCUCUGUACACUAAGGUUUGCAUGUGUUUUUUGUGAAAUAUACGUCCUGCAAGUCUUACGUGUCUUGUGUUGUUUCCGCUUUCCAAUCCACAGGCUUUUGAUAUACUUCAAACGAGAUUCUUUAUAUGUUGUUCGAUUCCUCUUGCUAUCACCACAAGGGGAAAUUGCUUACGGUGGCAAUAUGCUCUUCUAUGUUGUCUGAUUGACUCUUUUUAUUAGCAUGGAGAAAAACUUUUAGUUCACUAAGAUUAGUUUAUGUUCACAUUGCUCUGUAUAUAAAAAAGGAUUGUUGUGCUGAAAAGGUGUAUGACAUUCUGGCAAAACAUUGUUUAGUAAGAAAGUAUGUAGAGGUGAAAUGUUGUGGAUGUUCUGACAGGGAGAUACUUGGACUAACUUUACCGUCACACCUUAUUCAAUAUUCUGGGUAUUGGGUUAUGUUGUUUUCCUCC